GUCCCCACCCCACUCUCCUUUGUCCCUCAUGCUUGUCCCCCAUUCACUUGAACUCUUACGAUAAACACCACCAAACUUCCAGCUAAAAGGGGCUCUCGGAACUAACCCCAAAGAUCAGGAAAAACUCCAUUAAAAACAACCUUAAAACCACCAGAAAAUAGCUGAAAAAUCAGCUCCAAACCAGCUUAUCCCCACAUCCAAAAACGCAACAAAACAGCCCCAAAAUCCAUUGAAACAACAACCAGAAACCCAUUAGUUAUAGCCGAUACCUUUCAGUCCAACGACUCUAUCCAUAGCUUCAAUGGAGUCGAGGUCUGAGUUGAGUCCGUCGAGGUGGACGACGUGAUUUUUUGUCUAUUCUCGAUCUUUGGUAUAUGGUCGUAUAAGUCUUCAAAUUUGGUCACCGUACUUCAACAUUUUGGAGAUUCUUCAUUAAUAUUAAAGGAAAUCUUCUCCAUUAAGGUACCUCUCUGAUCAUCUCUCUGUUGCUUUGGAUGAAUAAUUUCAACACAAAUUGUUUCACUAUUAGAUGAGGCUAAAAUUCGUAUUUUCUUGUUUGUUCUGAGCUUUAGUAUAAAUGAAUGUUAAAAUAGGUGUGAUUAUUGACUUGACUGUGAGUAGAUUUGGCUUCAAAAGUUUAGUUUGAAUGUUAUUAAUGCUUGUUGCUUCCGGUCAAGCAUAUUGUUAAAUCCUCAUUGUAUCUGCAGUUUCCUAAUAACUAAAGGCAUGAUAAUUUGGUUAGUUCUAUUACUAAUAUUAGUGCUAGGAUCGGUAGCCUUCCGAUCAUGUGAGUUUUGGUUUUAUCUAAUGUUAUUAAUAUGUUUGGUUGAUGAAAGUUUACAAUAGAUCCCUAUAGUAUUUAAUUUCUUCAUUCAUGUCAUUCAAUGUUCGCUCUUUUAUGGCUUAGUUUUCUUAGAUGAUUGAUUAUUCAUAUAUUAAUUUAGUCAAAUAAGUUUAAUAAUUUUUUUUAAUAGCUAAAUCAUACAUCUUUUCUCGCAAAUUAAUAUCCAUAAAUCAUGACCUCAUAACAAACUCAAUGUAGUUUUUUUAAAAAAAAAAAUCAUGAAUGCUCGUAGAAUGCUUUAGGCGUGCUUUAAUCCAUUAUCGUGGUUAUGUAUACGUUCGCGUGAUAUAACUAUGAUCCCAAAAUAAAUCAAGGUAGGCGUCUGCGCAACUUUUAACAAAAAACAAUCUUAAUAAUAAAUGUUAUUAAUUGUGUAUACGUACGCGUGAUAUGAUUUUGGCACAAUAAAAAAUGAAUUCACACACGUGAUUCGUUUCAAAGAUAAUUCCAUAUUUGAGUAAUUAAAAGUGGAUAGAUAAAAUAUGAAAACUAAUAAAUCACAAUUUAUCCAAAAAUUAAUUCAAGCCAAGUUGUAGUCAAUAAAACGACCGUGCUAGAACCACGGGAUUCGAAGAAUGUCUUAUACCUUCUCCCCGGUCAACAAAAUUCCUUACCCGGACUUUAUUUUCGCAGACCAAUAAUAAUAGAGUCAAACCUUCCUUUGACUAGAGAUUCAAAUAAAAGGUGACUUGGAACACCAAAAAAUCAAUUCCAAGUGGCAACUCUGAAUAACAAAAUAAUUCCUACUCAAUUUUGUCACUUUAAUUGGAAAAACCCUUUAAUCCACAUUAUCGUUUUGGGGUAGAAAAAGGGGUGUGUCAGGCUUUUAGUAUAGGUGGUCGAAUUCUUGAUUCAUAUCGGAGUUUUUUAUCGCAAAAAACAGUAGAAUCCCUUAUUUGCACUCAACAACGGAUACGAUCACCUUCCAAAGAAUACCAGUUUCAAGACAUUUUGGAAGACGUCCAGAAGAUUGAACAAGUUGAAGAAGGUAAUUUAUAUAUUCAAUUCUUAAUGAAUAUUAUUUUAAUAUUUUGUAUUGUUUAAUCCCUAAUAUGUGAAUUAUUUUAUUUAUUUCAGAAUAUUCAGACUCGCCUUUGAGAAUUGAUUAGCCCACUCUAUUCAUGAUGCAC
rnacentral:lncRNA from 1 species